rnacentral:tRNA from 1 species
UGCGAGAUAGCUAAGACGGAUGGUUCUGUUGCCCGGCUCAUAACCGGAUGCUGAGUGGUUCGAUUCCACAUCUCGCAACCA